rnacentral:tRNA from 1 species
GGAGAGGUUCCCGUAGCGGCCCAACGGGGGUCGGGCCAGGGCCCGACCGGGGUGCAAGCCCUCGCAGGUUCGAAUCCUGCCCUCUCCGC